rnacentral:rRNA from 1 species
AGAGUUUGAUCCCGGCUCAGGAUGAACGCUGGCGGCGUGCUUAACACAUGCAAGUCGAACGGACUUUAAAUGAAACCUGGUGAUUUUAAAGUUAGUGGCGGACGGGUGAGUAACGCGUGGGUAACCUGCCUUGUACUGGGGGACAACAGUUGGAAACGACUGCUAAUACCGCAUAAGCGCACAGCUUCGCAUGAAGCAGUGUGAAAAACUCCGGUGGUACAAGAUGGAUCCGCGUCUGAUUAGCUGGUUGGUGAGGUAACGGCUCACCAAGGCGACGAUCAGUAGCCGGCCUGAGAGGGUGAACGGCCACAUUGGGACUGAGACACGGCCCAAACUCCUACGGGAGGCAGCAGUGGGGAAUAUUGCACAAUGGGGGAAACCCUGAUGCAGCGACGCCGCGUGAGUGAAGAAGUAUUUCGGUAUGUAAAGCUCUAUCAGCAGGAAAGAAAAUGACGGUACCUGACUAAGAAGCCCCGGCUAACUACGUGCCAGCAGCCGCGGUAAUACGUAGGGGGCAAGCGUUAUCCGGAUUUACUGGGUGUAAAGGGAGCGUAGACGGUGAGGCAAGUCUGAAGUGAAAUGCCGGGGCUCAACCCCGGAACUGCUUUGGAAACUGUCUGACUAGAGUGCAGGAGAGGUAAGUGGAAUUCCUAGUGUAGCGGUGAAAUGCGUAGAUAUUAGGAGGAACACCAGUGGCGAAGGCGGCUUACUGGACUGUAACUGACGUUGAGGCUCGAAAGCGUGGGGAGCAAACAGGAUUAGAUACCCUGGUAGUCCACACUGUAAACGAUGAUUACUAGGUGUUGGAGGAUUGACCCCUUCAGUGCCGCAGUUAACACAAUAAGUAAUCCACCUGGGGAGUACGACCGCAAGGUUGAAACUCAAAGGAAUUGACGGGGGCCCGCACAAGCAGUGGAGUAUGUGGUUUAAUUCGACGCAACGCGAAGAACCUUACCAAGUCUUGACAUCCUGCGACGCACAUAGAAAUAUGUGUUUCCUUCGGGACGCAGAGACAGGUGGUGCAUGGUUGUCGUCAGCUCGUGUCGUGAGAUGUUGGGUUAAGUCCCGCAACGAGCGCAACCCUUAUGGUCAGUUACUACGCAAGAGGACUCUGGCCAGACUGCCGUUGACAAAACGGAGGAAGGUGGGGAUGACGUCAAAUCAUCAUGCCCUUUAUGACUUGGGCUACACACGUACUACAAUGGCGUUAAACAAAGAGAAGCAAGACCGCGAGGUGGAGCAAAACUCAGAAACAACGUCCCAGUUCGGACUGCAGGCUGCAACUCGCCUGCACGAAGUCGGAAUUGCUAGUAAUCGCAGAUCAGCAUGCUGCGGUGAAUACGUUCCCGGGCCUUGUACACACCGCCCGUCACACCAUGAGAGCCGGGGGGACCCGAAGUCGGUAGUCUAACCGCAAGGAGGACGCCGCCGAAGGUAAAACUGGUGAUUGGGGUGAAGUCGUAACAAGGUA